UACAGAGGGUGCAAGCGUUAAUCGGAAUUACUGGGCGUAAAGCGUGCGUAGACGGUUAUGUAAGUCAGAUGUGAAAGCCCCGGGCUCAACCUGGGAAUUGCAUUUGAGACUGCGAUAGGCUAGGGUGCGGAAGGAGGGAAGCGGAAUUUCCGGUGUAGCGGUGGAAAUGACGUAGAUAUCGGAAGGAACACCAGUGGCGAAAGCGGCUUCCGUGGUCCAGCACCGACGUCAGGCACGAAAGCGUGGGGAGCAAACAGG
rnacentral:rRNA from 1 species